rnacentral:rRNA from 1 species
GUGCCAGCAGCCGCGGUAAUACGGAGGAUGCAAGCGUUAUCCGGAAUGAUUGGGCGUAAAGCGUCCGCAGGUGGCGAUGAAAGUCUGCUGUUAAAGAGCAAGGCUCAACCUUGUAAAGGCAGUGGAAACUACAUGGCUAGAGUGCGUUCGGGGCAGAGGGAAUUCCUGGUGUAGCGGUGAAAUGCGUAGAGAUCAGGAAGAACACCGGUGGCGAAAGCGCUCUGCUAGGCCGCAACUGACACUGAGGGACGAAAGCUAGGGGAGCGAAUGGGAUUAGAUACCCCAGUAGUCC